rnacentral:rRNA from 1 species
GACGAACGCUGGCGGCGUGCUUAACACAUGCAAGUCGAACGGAAAGGCCCUGCUUUUGUGGGGUGCUCGAGUGGCGAACGGGUGAGUAACACGUGAGUAACCUGCCCUGGACUUUGGGAUAACUUCAGGAAACUGGGGCUAAUACAGGAUAGGAGCUCCUGCAGCAUGGUGGGGGUUGGAAAGUUUCGGCGGUUGGGGGUGGACUCGCGGCUUAUCAGCUUGUUGGUGGGGUAGUGGCAUACCAAGGCUUUGACGGGUAGCCGGCCUGAGAGGGUGGCCGGCGACCUUGGGACUGCGAGACGCCGCAGUCGCGUACUGGAGGCAGAAGUGGGGAGUAUUGCCCAGUGGGCGGGCGCCUGUUGCGGCAACGUUCGGUUCGUGAUGCAGGCCUUCGGGUUGUGAACCGCUUUCGCCUGUGACGAAGCGUGAGUGACGGUAAUGGGUAAAGAAGCACCGGCUAACUACGUG